CAGCGCAAAACAAUAUAACCUCAGGAACUGAAGGUGCGGGUUGCUGGCAUCGUUCCCUUAACGGCGUAAGGCAUCACUUAAAGGCAGCAAGUGAAGUUACAAGAUGAGUUUGUUACUGGCUUUGGGAAUCUUCAGUCUGGACCCUGCCCUGCUGUUGCAUUGCAAGCAGAAAGAUGUCACAUGAAUUCUGGAGUUGCAGAAGUGGAACAGGGAGGAAUAUGCUUGCAGGUAGUGUUACAAGGUUGGAACUCAAUAACAGAAGCUGUUAUGCCAGCUGUAGAACCUCCCAGAUGUGCUCCAAAUCAGAUGUGACCCAAGAAUGCUGAAGGAAGUGUAAGGGAGAGGUGCUGUGACAUCAGAUGACCUUCUGCACUGUCUCCAAAACCUGUGUAUGCACAUACAACCAACAGUAGACUCCACCUCUAGAAGAAUGGGUAUUUAAGGUGGCGUGAGAUUACCUGACUGUAGAAGUUCAAGUUUAUCCUUUUUAUAUGAAGCCAAGUCUCCUAUGUAGCAGAUACCACCCUUGGCCAGCACAGCACUGCAAGCUUGAAUACUAGCGCUUCCAGUUCCGUGUUUGUCUUUGGACACAGAAGGGAAAAUGUCACUGUAAGGCAGACCACAAGAUGGCAGUAGUUCCUACGGCACAUUCGCAAGCAGAACAGCUUGGGACGGCUUUCUGAGCGCCGGGACGGAAGCCACUGCCGCCUCUGCCUGGCCUGGAAAUGCCAUGGAAAAAUGGAUAUUCAUUACGAAAGUCCUGCACAAAUUUCUGAAGGCCACCACUUCUGUCCAUGUAAACAAGGGCAACUUCCCUCAUCUUCUGUAUUUCACGGUGCAUCUUCCAAGACAGACCUUUGCGCUAUUUAUCAAAAUGUUGGACUAAACUGUGAAGAAAUGAUGCUAGAGUUGGCCAUGCUGUGCUAACAACAAUAAAGGGAAAU